UUUAAAGAGGCAUCCAAGUUGUUUUAACAAGUUACUACAAAACUUGGUCUUCCCGAGGUGAGGCUGUUUUGCACAGUGUGUGUACUGUACAAAGAUCCAGGGAGGGAGGGAUCAGAAAGUUAGAGUCAUUUAAAAAAAAAAGCCCCAGGCACUUGAUGCCUGGAAAUGAUGUAAGAGGCAGCCACUCCUCUGUUAGAACUACAACCAAACAAUGCUCCGGCCAUCCACAGCAGCUGCUCUCCAAAUGUCAGCGCCAGCCCCAGUCAAAAAAAGCUUGAAAUCUACCAGGCGGAAGGACUUGGUGCUGUGCCCUGGUCUCCCACAUUUUCCCUGAGCAUUCUCAGGAACCUGGCAACAGCCAGCUGCUUCUCCCUCCCCCCCCACCGGCCCCACACCCAACCCCCAUCCCUCCCACUCCAAAGUCUGAGAAAACAAAGUACUGCUGCAGGCAACCGUACUCUCGACAGUCCCCUUGUGGCCAAACCUGGAACAACACGUACAUACUCAAUGGCCACUCGGCCGCAAGAUGUCACCAGGAUCCUUAGAACACAUGGUUGUGCUAUGGCUAAUACUUGUUGCAUGAAGGAACGAAUAGGAAUGAAAAGAGUCUUCCUAGAGAAGAAGGAAAAUGGAUCAACAAUCCAGAAAGAAAAGUCGUUGGGCCACAAGUAAAAGGAAUAAACAGCAGAGCCAUCCUCUGUGACCUGGGAUGUCACAGUACAGUCGGUCCUCUAUAUCCAUGGGUUCUGCGUCUACAGGAUUUAAAAAAGAAAGCAAGCAGAACAGCAAGAAGUUUUCUAAGGAGUGAGAAAAACAGUUGGGCUAGCCUCCCCUCCUCUGGGGUUAACAGGAUUGCCCACAGAUCUGGCCCACGUGACGGUCAAGAAAAGAGGCUCCAGCUGAGGAAAACCCAGGAAAUCUUCUUAGGAACCUUCCUUUCUAAAUUGUCCAAGAAACGCCGGUGACUGUCUUGGACCAGUGACUGUGGAUUCUAAACUGGAUGCCAAGUAGGUAAAGAAAGUAACUCCUGCCAACAGGAUUGCUCCAUGAAAAACCCAGGCCGAACCGAACCUAUUCCCAGCCUUACAAAAGCCCUGAUGGCAGCCCUGGGAAAGCACAGAUCCUACUGUGCAUCAUCUCCUGUCUCUGGUGUCCCGGUAACUCCCUAACUCCAAGUUUCUCCAUCUUCGGAGCUGUGACCUAUUAAUGAGUCAUGACAUCAACUGAGGGUCUUAUAACAUUGCACAGCCUGGCCUGGAACUACAGGUGUUAUGGUUUGGAUGUGAGGUGUUCCCCACAAAGCUCAUGUGUGAGAUGAUGGGAUUUGGAACUGUGGCUGCCAUCUGUGGACCAUUGACCUCAUCUGGCUUCAUUAUAAAUCUCAUCUCCCUUUGCUUGGUCCCAUAUGUCCAAGAAGCAACAUGCCCAAGGCAGGAUAAGGAAGGAAGGAAGGAAGCAGUAUCUCUAAGAACCACAGUUCACAGUGUCGGGCCUCUAAAGAGAUCUGAAGAAACAGAAACCCAUGAAUCAAGAAUAAGAUAAGGCUAUUUGGUUUGUUUCAACCAGUGUGCCGUUUAGUUCCCUAUCAGAGCCCUGCCUGGAGAAUGAAAUCAUUUCCAUCUCUCAGCCCUUCCAAAGAUCAUCAAACACAAACACACCGUCUGCUCUUUCAUUUCCUCUGUGUCCAGGGUGUGUACUGACUUGGUGGAAUUUCUGGGACCAGCUGUGGAUUACGUAUCAAACAAAAAAAAACGGCAGGAAGCUGGCUCUGGGGAGAGUGAGCCUUAAAUGCUGUUUGCUUACCCCGUCUAGGAGUGAGCCUCGGGUGGCUUCUUUGACUUCCUCUGCCUUCCUCCCAGCCUAUGGGACAUAUGAAAAGGCAGUUCUGGGGUGUGGGACCCACUUUCAAUGGUUUGGCCCUCCUCUCGCCACAUUCACCCUUAUUGUACCUAGAUCACCUGCUACACCUGGAAAGGAUGGAAGUGAUCUUUUUUAAUCUUCCAAGUCUUACCCCACUGUCCUGGGCUGAGUUAUGUCCCGCCUAAUUCAUAUGUUAAAGUCCUAACCUAACUCUCAGUGCCUCGGAAGGUAACCAUCCUUGGAGAGGGGCUUUUUAAAGAGAUGGUCAAGUUAGGAGGAGCUCAUUAGGGUGGGCCCUACUCCAGAAUGACUGGUGUCCUUAGAAGAAGAGAUCUGGGUGCACAGGCACAGACUAAGGGAGACAGGGAGAGGACAGCAUCCUGCAAGCCAAGCUCAGAGGCCGCUGACACCUGGAUCUUGGACGCAGCCUCCACAGAGUGUGAGAAAAUACAAUCUUGUUGUUGAAGCCACCCUGUCUGUGGUGCUUUGUCACAGACCGAGACACCUAUCAAUGGGAAGUUCACAGCCCUGAUGUUGGACUUCAGAAAAGUUUUGAAAGUAAUAUCCAAAAAUAUCCAAAGGCAAAAAUC